CCUACGGGAGGCAGCAGUGGGGAAUAUUGGGCAAUGGGCGCAAGCCUGACCCAGCAACGCCGCGUGAAGGAAGAAGGCCCUCGGGUUGUAAACUUCUUUUGUCAGGGACGAAGCAAGUGACGGUACCUGGCGAAUAAGCCACGGCUAACUACGUGCCAGCAGCCGCGGUCAUACGUAGGUGGGAAGCGUUAUCCGGAUUUACUGGGUGUAAAGGGCGUGUAGGCGGGGAAGCAAGGUGGAUGUGAAAUUCCAGGGCUCAACCCUGGGACUGCAUUGGAAACUGUUUUUCUUGAGUGAUGGAGAGGCAGGCGGAAUGCCGGGUGGAGCGGUGAAAUGCGUAGAUAUACGGAGGAACACCAGUGGCGAAGGCGGCCUGCUGGACAUUAACUGACGCUGAGGCGCGAAAGCGUGGGGAGCUAACAGGAUUAGAUACCCGAGUAGUC
rnacentral:rRNA from 1 species